AUGGAGGAAUCUGCUCUUCGGGAGAUGGUGAACGCACCACUCCCUCCCCCGGAGGAGGGCCGGGUGGAGAAUCUUUUGUUUCGUUUUUUCCCGCCGUUGGCCUCACGGCCGACGGUACCCAAAUUCUCGACAAAAGAGCAUUUUCCCUCAUCUCUGGGUCCCAGGAGGGCACGGAGAGUUGCGGACGGCCAAACACCGGACCUCACUCAUCCUCCUCCUUCGCCAGAUGGCAGCAGCGGGCGGUUCAAGAGCGUCAACAAAGGCCCUACUCACGCACAAGCCGCCCGAGAUGGGUCCCUGUGUUCCACCUCGCUGCCCCACUGCGGGUACGGCUGUGGUUCCGCUGGUCCCGCUUGUACGGUUUCUAAGCGCCUGGUCAGCACUACCCAGCCCGUCUCGCUGGCUCCUGCGGACCAUCAGCCUCGGCUAUGCGAUUCAGUUCGCCCGGCGUCCCCCCAAGUUCAUGUGUCAAUCCUUCCGUGCCACAGACCUUUUCUGCGGUUUGCGUUCGAAGGACGGGCAUAUCAGUACAAGGUCCUGCCCUUCGGGCUGUCCCUGUCUCCCCGUGUCUUCACGAAAGUCACGGAGGCGGCUCUUGUUCCCCUCAGGGAGCAGGGUGUUCGUAUUCUCAACUAUCUAGACGAUUGGCUGAUACUAGCACAAUCUCGGGAUCAGUUGUGCGAACACAGGGACCUGGUGCUCCGGCACCUCAGCCUGUUGGGCCUUCGGGUCAACUGGGAAAAGAGCAAACUCUUGCCAACGCAGAGGAUCUCUUUUCUCGGUAUGGAGUUGGAUUCGGUCGAACAGACAGCACGCCUCACAGAGGAACGUGCGCGGUCGGUGCUAGCCUGCUUGAAUACAUUCAAGAGCAGGACAGCGGUCCCACUGAAACUCUUUCAGAGGAUCCUGGGGCAUAUGGCGGCCGCAGCGGCACUUACACCGCUCGGCCUGUUACAUAUGAAGUGCGGCACUCACCGGGUCCAAGUUACACCGGCCUGUCGCCAAACCCUCACCCCGUGGUCAGAUCUUGCGUUUCUCAGGGCAGGGGUGCCCCUAGAGCAGAUCUCCAGGCAUGCUGUGGUUUACACGGAUGCCUCCACCACCGGCUGGGGGGCCACGUACAACGGGCAUGCAGUCUCAGGGGUUUGGACGGGCCCGCAGCUGCAGUGGCACAUCAAUUGCCUAGAGUUGUUAGCAGUGCACCUUGCCUUGAACCGUCUCAAAGGUCACUUACGAGGCAAGCAUGUGCUGGUCCGAACGGACAACACAGCGACCGUUGCGUACAUCAACCGACAAGGUGGUCUGCGCUCCCGUCGCAUGUCACAACUCGCCCGCCACCUCCUCCUUUGGAGUCGGAAGGUUCUGAGGUCUCUUCGUGCCGUUCACAUUCCAGGCCUGCUCAACCGUACAGCCGACGAGCUGUCUCGAGCAAUGCUCCCAGGAGAAUGGCGACUCCAUCCCCUGACGGUCCAGCUGAUUUGGAGACGGUUCGGAGCCGCUCAGGUAGACCUGUUUGCUUCUCCAGAGACCGCUCACUGCCAGUUGUUCUACUCCCUGACCGAGGGAACUCUCGGCAGGGAUGCACUGGCACACAGCUGGCCGCGGGGCCUAGUAUGCGUUUCCCCCAGUGAGCCUUCUUGCACAGACACUGUGCAAAGUCCGGGAGGACGAGGAGCAAGUCUUGCUAGUGGCGCCGUAUUGGCCCACGCGGACCUGGUUCCCCGAACUGGUGCUCCUCGCGACAGCCCUUCCUUGGCCGAUUCCUCUGAGGAAGGAUCUACUGACUCAGAGACGGGGCACCAUUUGGCACCCGCGUCCAGACCUUUGGAAACUCCAUGUCUGGUCCCUGGACAGGACGCGGAGGUUCUAGGUGACCUGCCCCAGGAGGUAGCGAACACCAUCACUUCGGCAAGAGCACCGUCUACGAGACACGCUUACACCUUGAAGUGGAACCUGUUCGUCGAGUGGUGUUCUUCUCGCCGAGAAGACCCCCGAAGACCCCCUGUCUCCCUCCACCCUCAAAGUCCAGGUUGCCGCUAUUGCUGCGUACCAUGA
ensembl:lncRNA